UUGCCUUAAACUAAUGAGUAAGGAAAAUAACUGAAUCCUGGUGACGCGGGAUUCGCAUCGUAUACGUAGUUAUACGUGAAAUUUUUGCCGGAGGAAGGUCGUCCUCAGGUGACCCCCACUACUUUUAGGGGGAUGCCUGUGUUGUUGCGAUCUCCGCU
rnacentral:snRNA from 1 species